AUUAUUAUAUUUAUUCUUCCACACUUUUUUGUCCAUUCUAUUUCUCGGAAUUGACUUGAACAAUAUUGAUGGAACUAUACCAUAAUGUAGACCACCACAUUCUAUAGUGCAGUGGGGUAUGGCACCAUCAAGAUGGCUGCCGUUGCCAUGGAAACGAAACAAAUGUGAAAAAUUUCUGUUUUUUGUUUUGGUGAACUGUUUGAAUAUGCUUAAACUCAGAAUCAUCAUAUUUUAAUACAAUGAAGGUGCCCACUAUAUACAGGUGUUGGUUGAUUUUGGCACUCAUUGGACCUACUAUGUUGCCAUGGAAACUAAACCAAAAAUUUCAAAAAUAUCAAAA
rnacentral:lncRNA from 1 species